rnacentral:rRNA from 1 species
AUUGAACGCUGGCGGCAGGCCUAACACAUGCAAGUCGAACGAGUGGCGGACGGGUGAGUCAUGUCUGGGAAACUGCCCGAUGGAGGGGGAUAACUACUGGAAACGGUAACACAUACCGCAUACCAUCGGGUGUGCCCAGAUGGGAGUAGCGAGUAGGUGGGGUAACGGCUCACCUAGGCGACGAUCCCUAGCGGGUCUGAGAGGAUGACCAGUCACACUGGAACUGAGACACGGUCCAGACUCCUACGGGAGGCAGCAGUGGGGAAUAUUGCACAAUGGGCGCAAGCCUGAUGCAGCCAUGCCGCGUGUAUGAAGAAGGCCUUCGGGUUGUAAAGUACUUUCAGCGAGGAGGCGUUACUCGCAGAAGAAGCACCGGCUAACUCCGUGCCAGCAGUCGCGGUAAUAC